rnacentral:rRNA from 1 species
AUGAACGCUAGCUACAGGCUUAACACAUGCAAGUCGAGGGGCAGCAUGGUCUUAGCUUGCUAAGGCCGAUGGCGACCGGCGCACGGGUGAGUAACACGUAUCCAACCUGCCGUCUACUCUUGGACAGCCUUCUGAAAGGAAGAUUAAUACAAGAUGGCAUCAUGAGUCCGCAUGUUCACAUGAUUAAAGGUAUUCCGGUAGACGAUGGGGAUGCGUUCCAUUAGAUAGUAGGCGGGGUAACGGCCCACCUAGUCUUCGAUGGAUAGGGGUUCUGAGAGGAAGGUCCCCCACAUUGGAACUGAGACACGGUCCAAACUCCUACGGGAGGCAGCAGUGAGGAAUAUUGGUCAAUGGGCGAGAGCCUGAACCAGCCAAGUAGCGUGAAGGAUGACUGCCCUAUGGGUUGUAAACUUCUUUUAUAAAGGAAUAAAGUCGGGUAUGGAUACCCGUUUGCAUGUACUUUAUGAAUAAGGAUCGGCUAACUCCGUGCCAGCAGCCGCGGUAAUACGGAGGAUCCGAGCGUUAUCCGGAUUUAUUGGGUUUAAAGGGAGCGUAGAUGGAUGUUUAAGUCAGUUGUGAAAGUUUGCGGCUCAACCGUAAAAUUGCAGUUGAUACUGGAUAUCUUGAGUGCAGUUGAGGCAGGCGGAAUUCGUGGUGUAGCGGUGAAAUGCUUAGAUAUCACGAAGAACUCCGAUUGCGAAGGCAGCCUGCUAAGCUGCAACUGACAUUGAGGCUCGAAAGUGUGGGUAUCAAACAGGAUUAGAUACCCUGGUAGUCCACACGGUAAACGAUGAAUACUCGCUGUUUGCGAUAUACUGCAAGCGGCCAAGCGAAAGCGUUAAGUAUUCCACCUGGGGAGUACGCCGGCAACGGUGAAACUCAAAGGAAUUGACGGGGGCCCGCACAAGCGGAGGAACAUGUGGUUUAAUUCGAUGAUACGCGAGGAACCUUACCCGGGCUUAAAUUGCAGAUGAAUUACGGUGAAAGCCGUAAGCCGCAAGGCAUCUGUGAAGGUGCUGCAUGGUUGUCGUCAGCUCGUGCCGUGAGGUGUCGGCUUAAGUGCCAUAACGAGCGCAACCCUUGUUGUCAGUUACUAACAGGUUCCGCUGAGGACUCUGACAAGACUGCCAUCGUAAGAUGUGAGGAAGGUGGGGAUGACGUCAAAUCAGCACGGCCCUUACGUCCGGGGCUACACACGUGUUACAAUGGGGGGUACAGAGGGCCGCUACCACGCGAGUGGAUGCCAAUCCCCAAAACCUCUCUCAGUUCGGACUGGAGUCUGCAACCCGACUCCACGAAGCUGGAUUCGCUAGUAAUCGCGCAUCAGCCACGGCGCGGUGAAUACGUUCCCGGGCCUUGUACACACCGCCCGUCAAGCCAUGGAAGCUGGGGGUGCCUGAAGUUCGUGACCGCAAGGAGCGACCUAGGGCAAAACCGGUAACUGGGGCU